AUACUUACCUGGACGAGGUCAACGGUAGAUCAUCAAGGUCCGUGGCCUAGGCUAGUGGCCCCAAUUGCACUUGAGGGGGUGCGCUGGCUUACCAUCUGUCCACGUGGCAGAGUGGACGUCAUAAUUUGUGGUAUAGGGGGUACGCGCACGCGCGGCCCCUGC